UAAGCCGAUUUCGUACUGGAAUGACGUUAUUUUUGCGGACGAAUCCAAAUACAACAUUUUCGGGUCGGAUGGGAGGCAUUAUGUUUGGCGGCGUCCGAAUACGGAGCUAGAUACAAAAAAUCUAAAAGCUACGGUCAAGCACGGUGGAGGCCAUGUUAUGGUUUGGGGCUGUAUGGCUGCGUCUGGGAAAACUUACUACAAAGCGCAGAAAGCUUGGGAA